rnacentral:lncRNA from 1 species
GCUCCGACUCCGCUCGAAGGCGGCGGCGACGGCGGCUGCAGCAGCAGAAGCCGGCGAGCGAGCGAGGCUCGCCGAAUGGACGGAACGCCGCCCGUACGCCAGUCGACCGUGAGAAGCACAACGCUCGCCUGGAGCCUUCCCGGGCUUCCGCCGCCUCCCGCGGAAGGGAAAUUCAAGAAGGAACAACACAGUCCUACAUGGCCCCUCCCCCAACCGUGCCUUCCUGUCUCGUCUGCUUUCUCUUCCUCUCAAGUUAGCAUCUACUGCCAUAAGGUGAGUCUGUCUCAGCUGACACCACUCUGCCAAUCGGCCUGAAUCUGCUGAAGCAGCAAGAAACUGCAGCCGACCACCAGAAGUUUUUCCGUGUGGUUUCUCUCUCUGGACUUCUGACAAAUGAAGCUCAACUACACAAUGAGGAGCCAAGUCUGGGCUGGUGGUCCUGGAUUCUCUAAGGAGACAAGCGGAUUCUAUAAGGAAGCAAGCCAGUAAACAGCACCCCUUUCUCCGCCCCCCAACACCCCAUGGCUUCUGCAUCAGCUCCUGCCUCCAGGAUCCUGCCCUGCUUGAGUUCUUGCCUUCACAGCCAUUGAUGAUGAACUGGCACAUGGGACUGUGAGUGAAAUAAACCUUCCCUCCCCAG